CAGGUCCGCAGGUCAGAGCUGGGCUGCAUGACUGCUGACUGGUGGCAUGUCCGUGGCAACUAAUUUAAGCAACGCCGUUAUAAUUACAGUGUGUGCAGUGAGGGGCAGUAAAAGUGCUGGAAAAUGAUGCGCACGUGACAUCCGGCAAGGCAUCGCGACGGUCAGGUGGAUUACUAGCCAAGGUUUGGGCUGGCCAAGCCAAAAGGCACAAAGUGAAAAAAAUCUGCCAGCCAGCCAGCUAACUGACAACAACCGGAUCAGCAGAGGACCAACAGAGGGAGCAGCUAGCACAAAGGCCAGCAACGAGACACACAAGCCAAAAGCAAACAAAAGCCAAAAAAUUAUGCGCUAGUCGCAAGACGCAGGCGGCUCAUUUUCCAUUUGUUAGCCAGCUCACAGGAGCUAACAGGCAGUUGACUACUCUGCCAUGGAACAUAAUGUACAGCCAGGCCAUGUAAUUUUAUACAAGCGUUUGAGGGGGCUGACUAUCUACUAUGUCUAGAGGAAGAAGUCUUCAAAGGAAACCCCUUUGAAAUCAGGUUCAUGCAAUUAGGUUAUGAAGUUAGGGUAUACAAACUUCGGUACAAUAUUGUGAUUUUCUAAAGGAAGCAUGGGAUUGAAAUGGGAAGUGGGAAGCCUGGGCAGGCGCUCAAGAAAAUUAGUCGCGCUUUUGCGCGCUCGUCGGAAAAUAAUAAAAACUGAAGUGUAAAUUUA